rnacentral:rRNA from 1 species
UCAAGUGAAGAAGCGCAUACGGUGGAUGCUUGGCAGUCAGAGGCGAUGAAAGACGUGGUAGCCUGCGAAAAGCUUCGGGGAGUCGGCAAACAGACUUUGAUCCGGAGAUCUCUGAAUGGGGGAACCCACCUAGGAUAACCUAGGUAUCUUGUACUGAAUCCAUAGGUGCAAGAGGCGAACCAGGGGAACUGAAACAUCUAAGUACCCUGAGGAAAAGAAAUCAACCGAGAUUCCCUUAGUAGUGGCGAGCGAACGGGGAUUAGCCCUUAAGCUUCAUUGAUUUUAGCGGAACGCUCUGGAAAGUGCGGCCAUAGUGGGUGAUAGCCCCGUACGCGAAAGGAUCUUUGAAGUGAAAUCGAGUAGGACGGAGCACGAGAAACUUUGUCUGAACAUGGGGGGACCAUCCUCCAAGGCUAAAUACUACUGACUGACCGAUAGUGAACCAGUACCGUGAGGGAAAGGCGAAAAGAACCCCGGAGAGGGGAGUGAAAUAGAACCUGAAACCGUAUGCGUACAAGCAGUGGGAGCCUACUUGUUAGGUGACUGCGUACCUUUUGUAUAAUGGGUCAGCGACUUAUAUUCAGUGGCAAGCUUAACCGUAUAGGGUAGGCGUAGCGAAAGCGAGUCUUAAUAGGGCGUUUAGUCGCUGGGUAUAGACCCGAAACCGGGCGAUCUAUCCAUGAGCAGGUUGAAGGUUAGGUAACACUGACUGGAGGACCGAACCCACUCCCGUUGAAAAGGUAGGGGAUGACUUGUGGAUCGGAGUGAAAGGCUAAUCAAGCUCGGAGAUAGCUGGUUCUCCUCGAAAGCUAUUUAGGUAGCGCCUCAUGUAUCACUCUGGGGGGUAGAGCACUGUUUCGGCUAGGGGGUCAUCCCGACUUACCAAACCGAUGCAAACUCCGAAUACCCAGAAGUGCCGAGCAUGGGAGACACACGGCGGGUGCUAACGUCCGUCGUGAAAAGGGAAACAACCCAGACCGCCAGCUAAGGUCCCAAAGUUGUGGUUAAGUGGUAAACGAUGUGGGAAGGCUUAGACAGCUAGGAGGUUGGCUUAGAAGCAGCCACCCUUUAAAGAAAGCGUAAUAGCUCACUAGUCGAGUCGGCCUGCGCGGAAGAUGUAACGGGGCUCAAACCACACACCGAAGCUGCGGGUGUCACGUAAGUGACGCGGUAGAGGAGCGUUCUGUAAGCCUGUGAAGGUGAGUUGAGAAGCUUGCUGGAGGUAUCAGAAGUGCGAAUGCUGACAUGAGUAACGACAAUGGGUGUGAAAAACACCCACGCCGAAAGACCAAGGGUUCCUGCGCAACGUUAAUCGACGCAGGGUUAGUCGGUUCCUAAGGCGAGGCUGAAAAGCGUAGUCGAUGGGAAACAGGUUAAUAUUCCUGUACUUCUGGUUACUGCGAUGGAGGGACGGAGAAGGCUAGGCCAGCUUGGCGUUGGUUGUCCAAGUUUAAGGUGGUAGGCUGAAAUCUUAGGUAAAUCCGGGGUUUCAAGGCCGAGAGCUGAUGACGAGUCGUCUUUUAGAUGACGAAGUGGUUGAUGCCAUGCUUCCAAGAAAAGCUUCUAAGCUUCAGGUAACCAGGAACCGUACCCCAAACCGACACAGGUGGUCGGGUAGAGAAUACCAAGGCGCUUGAGAGAACUCGGGUGAAGGAACUAGGCAAAAUGGCACCGUAACUUCGGGAGAAGGUGCGCCGGCUAGGGUGAAGGAUUUACUCCGUAAGCUCUGGCUGGUCGAAGAUACCAGGCCGCUGCGACUGUUUAUUAAAAACACAGCACUCUGCAAACACGAAAGUGGACGUAUAGGGUGUGACGCCUGCCCGGUGCCGGAAGGUUAAUUGAUGGGGUUAGCGCAAGCGAAGCUCUUGAUCGAAGCCCCGGUAAACGGCGGCCGUAACUAUAACGGUCCUAAGGUAGCGAAAUUCCUUGUCGGGUAAGUUCCGACCUGCACGAAUGGCGUAACGAUGGCGGCGCUGUCUCCACCCGAGACUCAGUGAAAUUGAAAUCGCUGUGAAGAUGCAGUGUAUCCGCGGCUAGACGGAAAGACCCCGUGAACCUUUACUGUAGCUUUGCACUGGACUUUGAGCCUGCUUGUGUAGGAUAGGUGGGAGGCUUUGAAGCGUGGACGCCAGUUCGCGUGGAGCCAUCCUUGAAAUACCACCCUGGCAUGCUUGAGGUUCUAACUCUGGUCCGUGAUCCGGAUCGAGGACAGUGUAUGGUGGGCAGUUUGACUGGGGCGGUCUCCUCCUAAAGAGUAACGGAGGAGUACGAAGGUGCGCUCAGACCGGUCGGAAAUCGGUCGUAGAAGUAUAAAGGCAAAAGUUUGACGAUAUCUAUUCUCUUGGUAUCUCCUUGGUAUUCGAAGCUGGUCAACAGCUGGCUGAGUAUCCUGGAGUUGAAGUAAACGAUGGCAUUGGUGACCAGGCGAGCGCACUCAUUCCAUAGCUGGAUUUCUUCGUCUGAACUGCCCCGGAACUGAUCCCCAUUGACGCUGCUCACGGCCCGACGCAGUUGGUGAUAGGCCUCUCCCCGGUUCAGCGCGCGCUGAACAUAGUUUCUUAAACUGGCAUCAUCGAUGUAGCACAGUAGAUAAUUCGCUUUCACCAGGCGAUUGUAUUCCGUCAGGGCUUCCAGCAGCGGGUGAUUGCGCUUGUACUCCGAGAGCUUUCUCACCAAGGUGGCUUGCGUUGUUUUCCGCU